rnacentral:rRNA from 1 species
GGAUUGACGGACUGAAGGCUCUUUCUCGAUUCCGUGGAAAGUGGUGCAUGGCCGUUUUUGGUUGGUGGAUCGAUCCGUCUGGUUAAUUCCGUUAACGAACGAGACCUCGGCACUCCGAAUAGCGCGGCGGACGUCGCGGCCUCCGGGCCGUCUUCCGCACGAGCUUCUUAGAGGGACCGUCCCCCGCCGGGGAAGGAGGUGCGAGGCAACGACAGGUCUGUGAUGCCCUUAGAUGUUCUGGGCCGCACGCGCAUUACACUGACGCGUCCAACGGGUGACUCCCGACCCGAAGGGGCCGGGGAAUCCGCAAGGCGCGUCGUGAUGGGGAUUGAACGUUGCAAUUGUUGUUCACGAACGAGGAAUUCCUAGUAGGCGCGGGUCAUCAACCCGCGCCGAUUACGUCCCUGCCCUUUGUACACACCGCCU